rnacentral:rRNA from 1 species
GAUGAACGCUGGCGGCGUGCCUAAUACAUGCAAGUCGAACGCAUUGAGAGAAGUGCUUGCACUUUUCAAUUUGAGUGGCGAACGGGUGAGUAACACGUGGGCAACCUACCUGAUAGCGGGGGAUAACGAGUGGAAACAUUCGCUAAUACCGCAUAACAGUAGAGAAGGCAUCUUCUUUAUUUAAAAGGCGCUUUCAAGCGUCACUAUCAGAUGGGCCCGCGGUGCAUUAGUUAGAUGGUGGGGUGAAGGCCUACCAAGACGAUGAUGCAUAGCCGAGUUGGGAGACGGAUCGACCACAUUGGGACUGAGACACGGCCCAAACUCCGACGGGAGGCUGCAGUAGGGAGUCUUCCACAAUGGAGGAAAGUCUGAUGGAGCAACGCCGCGUGUUUGAUGAAGGCUUUCGGGUCGUAAAGCACUGUUGUAUGGGAAGAAAUGCUAGGCUAGGAAAUGAGCUUAGUUUGACGGUACCAUACCAGAAAGGGACGGCUAAAUACGUGCCAGCCGCCGCCGUAA